rnacentral:rRNA from 1 species
CCCAGUAGCGGCGAGCGAACGGGGAGGAGCCCAGAGCCUGAAUCAGCAUGUGUGUUAGUGGAAGCGUCUGGAAAGGCGCGCGAUACAGGGUGACAGCCCCGUACACAAAAGCGCAUGUGCUGUGAGCUCGAUGAGUAGGGCGGGACACGUGGUAUCCUGUCUGAAUAUGGGGGGACCAUCCUCCAAGGCUAAAUACUCCUGACUGACCGAUAGUGAACCAGUACCGUGAGGGAAAGGCGAAAAGAACCCCGGCGAGGGGAGUGAAAAAGAACCUGAAACCGUGUACGUACAAGCAGUGGGAGCACAGGUUUACCUGUGUGACUGCGUACCUUUUGUAUAAUGGGUCAGCGACUUAUAUUCUGUAGCAAGGUUAACCGUAUAGGGGAGCCGGAGGGAAACCGAGUCUUAACCGGGCGUUAAGUUGCAGGGUAUAGACCCGAAACCCGGUGAUCUAGCCAUGGGCAGGUUGAAGGUUGGGUAACACUAACUGGAGGACCGAACCGACUAAUGUUGAAAAAUUAGCGGAUGACCUGUGGCUGGGGGUGAAAGGCCAAUCAAACCGGGAGAUAGCUGGUUCUCCCCGAAAGCUAUUUAGGUAGCGCCUCGUGAACUCAUCUCCGGGGGUAGAGCACUGUUUCGGCUAGGGGGCCAUCCCGGCUUACCAACCCGAUGCAAACUGCGAAUACCGGAGAAUGUUAUCACGGGAGACACACGGCGGGUGCUAACGUCCGUCGUGAAGAGGGAAACAACCCAGACCGCCAGCUAAGGUCCCAAAGUCAUGGUUAAGUGGGAAACGAUGUGGGAAGGC